UACAGAGGGGGCAAGCGUUAUUCGGAAUUAUUGGGCGUAAAGGGCUUGUAGGUGGCCAACUAAGUCAGACGUGAAAUCCCUCAGCUUAACUGGGGAACUGCGUCUGAUACUGGAUGGCUUGAGUUUGGGAGAGGGAUGCGGAAUUCCAGGUGUAGCGGUGAAAUGCGUAGAUAUCUGGAGGAACACCGGUGGCGAAGGCGGCAUCCUGGACCAACACUGACACUGAGGAGCGAAAGCCAGGGGAGCAAACGGG
rnacentral:rRNA from 1 species